rnacentral:rRNA from 1 species
GCAAGUCGAACGAAGUAGCAAUACUUAGUGGCAGACGGGUGAGUAACAUGUGGGUAUCUUCCCUUUGGUGAGGAAUAACACGAGGAAACUUGUGCUAAUACCUCAUAAGUCUUUACGGAGAAAGCUUUAUGCGCCAAUGGAUGAGCCCGCACUUGAUUAGUUUGUUGGUGGGGUAACGGCCUACCAAGACUUUGAUCAAUAGCUGAUUUGAGAGGAUGAUCAGCCACAUUGGGACUGAGACACGGCCCAAACUCCUACGGGAGGCAGCAGUAAGGAAUCUUGCACAAUGGAGGAAACUCUGAUGCAGCGAUGCCGCGUGAGUGAAGAAGGCCUUUGGGUUGUAAAGCUCUUUCGUCGGGGAAGAAAAUGACUGUACCCGAAUAAGAAGGUCCGGCUAACUUCGUGCCAGCAGCCGCGGUAAUACGAAGGGACCUAGCGUAGUUCGGAAUUACUGGGCUUAAAGAGUUCGUAGGUGGUUAAAAAAGUUGGUGGUGAAAUCCCAGAGCUUAACUCUGGAACUGCCAUCAAAACUUUUUAGCUAGAGUAUGAUAGAGGAAAGCAGAAUUUCUAGUGUAGAGGUGAAAUUCGUAGAUAUUAGAAAGAAUACCAAUUGCGAAGGCAGCUUUCUGGAUCAUUACUGACGCUGAGGAACGAAAGCAUGGGUAGCGAAGAGGAUUAGAUACCCUCGUAGUCCAUGCCGUAAACGAUGUGUGUUAGACGUUGGAAAUUUAUUUUCAGUGUCGCAGCGAAAGCGAUAAACACACCGCCUGGGGAGUACGACCGCAAGGUUAAAACUCAAAUGAAUUGACGGGGACCCGCACAAGUAGUGGAGCAUGUGGUUUAAUUCGAAGAUACGCGCAGAACCUUACCAACACUUGACAUGUUCGUCGCGACUCUAGAGAUUAGAGUUUUCGGUUCGGCCGGACGAACACAGGUGCUGCAUGGCUGUCGUCAGCUC